AGAGCUGUCAGCCCACACAAAAGAGGAAAGUCUGAGGCUUUAGUUUGAUGAACACAUUUAUAUGAUGGGACGAACAUCAGAGCCCGCAGCUCUCGGCCCUGCUGGUGGCAGAGGCUUUGUACUGUGUGACAAUGACCUGGAUAUGGAAGCAGAAGGGAGCUUCUAAGGACCGGAAGCUGAGAGUCUGUCUCCUGUCCCGGCCCGGACACUGGGGUUCAGGUUCUGCGGGGUGGAGUGGAUGGCCAUUGUGUGCUAUGUGCUCUGAGGAAGCUUCUUCAACUGCUCUGCGAACCGCAGCAGUUAAGUGUAGUAUACAAGGCAGCUACGUGAAUAGUGACCCAGAUACAGACCAGUCUCAAGAUAAACAAAAGGAAGAUACCUCAUCUGCAACCCAUGGCCUGAGUUUUUCAUAAUACCCAGAAUGGCAGUGCAAGGUUAACACUAUGUUAGAAAGCUACCACUGGCUGGAGGAUAUGCCACGGGGACAAAACCAAUAAAAAGCAGGACAGAGAAACCACCUUGCAGGAGCAAAAGAAAUCAGCAAAUUGAGAUUUUUUGUUGUGACGUUUAGUGAGGUGGAAUACUGAACGUAUUGCAUCCUAAUGGCGUCUUUGUCUCAUACGGCUCACGUGUUGUACAGUGAGGUGGAAUACUGACCGUAUUGCAUCCUAAUGGCGUCUUUGUGUCACACGUUGUGCAAGCACAUUUCUAUGAACACACACCCCAAGCGGGUUCUGCACUUACACUGCAUCCUUAACUCACCUACAUUUCUAAGGGUGUCUGCCUUCUUCAGCAGCCCUCCAUGGCUGUCCACACCCUCCCACACCAGCCAACCUGAAACAAGGUUUCCUCUUCCUCUAGGAAAUACUCAGGGUCUCGCUUCCUCCUUCAACAUCCAUCCGUGUCUUCCACACCCCAUCCUGAACCAGGCGCCCGAAUUCCGAGUUCCGUGUUCCUUCUGUCACACGUGGCUAAAGACCGGCUGCUCCCUAGAAAAUCACUGCUUUCCAAAGCGCACUGCCGAGUCUUACAUGAAGUAUUUUCUCUUUAGAGACAUGAAUUCUGAUUCAGAUAUUUGCUUUCAUUAUAAGCCUUGGAGCAAAGAGUAUAAAGGUGUUUUCUUCUAAAAGUUCCUUUGGUUGACCACGAAUCCCCAGCCUCAGCUGUCUCCCUUAGUGCUGUUUGCUCCAUGGAUCUCUUACAGAUGUGUGUCAAAGGCAGUUCAUAAGCACAAAGACAUCUGGAAUACAAAGAGUCGCUAUAUAAAGACUAAAGACACCAUGUUUAUAUUGAAUUAAUGAGCUGAUUCUGAGAUUUUUUUAGAAUAACAGCCUACCUGGCAUUUAUUCUCUCUGAGCAUUAAUUAAUAUUUUUCACACCAGUGUCUAUCUUAGUCAACAUAUUUUGAGCUUUGAUUCAAUUACAAAACCCUAACACCCCAAACUGUGUGUUUUUCACAUGGUAAAGGACCACAGAUUCACUAACGCCUUCAGAAGAAUCAGUUUACUGUGGAUUCUAUCCAGUAUUAUGAAGUUCUCCUGUCCAAAAACACAGUUUUGAAAGAUGAGGUUAGAUUUAUUAGUGCUGUGUUGGCUGGGAUUUCAUUAAGUGAGAGGGCUUUUGUAGUUUUCUCAGACCAAGCAAAUUUUAUUGGGCCAAAUUAUUUUUAGGUAAAUCUGUGGGAAUCUGUCCAAUUUGUUACAUGCCCUAAAGUCUUGGCACACUGAGAUUUUGUUUUGUUUUUCUUUAGAAAAUUCCCUCCCUGUUUCUCCCUCUUUGAUAUUAUUCCCAGUAACAAUGCAUUAUUGUUUCCUAUGGGUCUGAGGACAGUGGCAAUUCAGGGCAUGUUUGGUGUUGUUGGCACGUCACGGAGGAGACAUUCCCCACAUGGCCUCCCCUUUCCUGUGAUGCUGUUACUUCGGGCCCUGGAAGUUGAAACCGGGCAGCCAGGCCAAGGACCCUCUGUGCUGAAGGCUCCGGUGCCCUCAGUCAUCAGUCUCUGUCAUGCUAACUCGUUACCUGUGCAUGGAGCAGCCGCUAGACAGUUUCUCAGAGGACGAACGGCAUUAAGUAGUUCCUUCAUUCCUCCAUUUGACAAACCUUGACUUAGUGCUGACUACCUGAUCGUGACAGAGCUGAGCAUCACAGAUCAAACCACACACAACUUGUGUCCAGCACUCAAUUUAUGGUACAUUUCUCUAGAGCUUCAAACUAGGGUAUGCUCAGGGCUUACGUGUAAUACACAAAAAAGUCUGCAUAUCAUGUUACUGAUCUCCUGAGCCAUAAAAUCCCUAAGGAAAAAAAAAUUCUUUUUCUAAAGAGACUGGCUUGUUUUCAAGCUUACAAAAACCAGCCAGAGGGUUCAGGCUAAGUUUAGACAACUAAAAAUAAAGUGAAAGCUUGGGUUUUUAAUUUAUGAUGAUGAUUAUUAUUUUAAAAUUCAUUUUUGAAAUGCACUUAUAUAGUGGAACAACAUCAGAUUAAUGAAAUUUAAUCGUUAUUGUGAAGAUAAGUCUGUUUUUGGCUCAGAUAAAAUGAAGAGCUUCUGUAAUACUUCCUUUUUUUCUCUUAAAAACCAAAUGUGCAUAAUUCUGUUGGAAGAAUAAAGAUUGUAAUUGUGAACUUUACCCA
ensembl:lncRNA LINC01865 long intergenic non-protein coding RNA 1865